rnacentral:misc_RNA from 2 species
GAAAAAUCAUUCGUCUCAGUGAUCACACACCUCUGUGGACCCAGACCCCUUGUUGCUUCCCGCUCUCCCCGCGGAGUGGCCCACCCCUCCGGGGGGAUGGCCGCCGCGGCGGCGGGGGGCAGAACCCGAAACCCCUGUUCUCGCAUGCCUUAGGUCUGAACUGAAGCUUUGAAACAGUCA